rfam:Trichoderma atroviride IMI 206040 TRIATcontig_19, whole genome shotgun sequence.
GCGGCCUUAGCUCAGCUGGGAGAGCGUCAGACUGAAGUUCCAACUUCAAGUCACUUGAUAUCUGAAGGUCGUGUGUUCGAUCCACACAGGCCGCA